rnacentral:rRNA from 1 species
GACGAACGCUGGCGGCGUGCUUAACACAUGCAAGUCGAACGGAAAGGCCCUGCUUUUGUGGGGUGCUCGAGUGGCGAACGGGUGAGUAACACGUGAGUAACCUGCCCUUGACUUUGGGAUAACUUCAGGAAACUGGGGCUAAUACCGGAUAGGAGCUCCUGCUGCAUGGUGGGGGUUGGAAAGUUUCGGCGGUUGGGGAUGGACUCGCGGCUUAUCAGCUUGUUGGUGGGGUAGUGGCUUACCAAGGCUUUGACGGGUAGCCGGCCUGAGAGGGUGACCGGCCACAGUGGGACUGAGAUAGGGCCCAGACGCCUACGGGAGGCAGCAGUGGGGAAUAUUGCACAAUGGGCGGAAGCCGGAUGCAGCAACGCCGCGUGGGGGAUGACGGCCUUCGGGUUGUAAACCGCUUUCGCCUGUGACGAAGCGUGAGUGACGGUAAUGGGGAAAGAAGCACCGGCUAACUAGGU